CCUACGGGUGGCAGCAGUGAGGAAUAUUGGUCAAUGGGCGAGAGCCUGAACCAGCCAAGUCGCGUGAGGGAGUACUGCCCUAUGGGUUGUAAACCUCUUUUGUCGGGGAGCAAAAGCCGGACGUGUCAGGCUGUGAGAGUACCCGACGAAAAAGCAUCGGCAAACUUCGUACCAGCAGCCGCGGUAAUACGUGGGUUGCGAGCGUUAUCCGGUUUUAUUGGGUUUAAGGGGUGUGUAGGGGGAGUUUUAAGUGCACGGUCAAAUCGUGGGGCUAAACCCCAUCCAGCCGGUGAAACUGGGGAUAUAGAGUGUGGGAGAGGUAGGCGGAAUGCGUGGUGUAGCGGUGAAAUGCAUAGAUAUCACGCAGAACCCCGAUUGCGAAGGCAGCAUACCGGAGCGCAACUGACGCUCAGGCUCGAAAGCGUGGGUAUCGAACAGGAUUAGAUACCCUUGUAGUC
rnacentral:rRNA from 1 species